GAUGAACGCUGGCGGCGUGCUUAACACAUGCAAGUCGAACGAUGAACCGGGUGCUUGCACUAGGGGAUUAGUGGCGAACGGGUGAGUAACACGCGAGCAACCUGCGCCCGACUCUGGGAUAAGCGAUGGAAAUGGCGUCUAAUACUGGAUAUGUCCCGUCACCGCAUGGUGGGCGGGGGGAAAGAUUUUUCGGUUGGGGAUGGGCUGGCGGCCUAUCAGCUUGGUGGUGAGGUAAUGGCUCACCAAGGCGUCGACGGGUAGCCGGCCUGAGAGGGUGACCGGCCACACUGGGACUGAGACACGGCCCAGACUCCUACGGGAGGCAGCAGUGGGGAAUAUUGCGCAAUGAGCUGAAGCCUGAUGCAGCAACGCCGCGUGAUGGAUGACGGCCUUCGGGUUGUAAACCUCUUUUAGCAGGGAAGAAGCGAGAGUGACGGUACCUGCAGAGAAAGCACCGGCUAACUACGUGCCGGCCGCCGCCGUAA
rnacentral:rRNA from 1 species